rnacentral:ncRNA from 1 species
GAGAAAGUUAGCAUAUCUUAGUCGAAUAUAGAAAACCUGAGUGAUGAUUCGCCAUGGACGGCGAAUCAAGAUGGCACUGAGCCAUGGAUGGCGAAUUGCCAUCGGUCACGGACACUCUAGAUAACAAUAUAUUCGACUUAGAUAUACUUACUUUCGUAA